rnacentral:ncRNA from 1 species
UCAGUAAAAAGGCAAACUUAUUGAAAAAUAAGGACGCAAAGCAACAGAUCUAAAGCCCUGUGUGCAAGGAUGGCUGUGCUGCCUGA